AGCAGCCGCGGUAAUUCCAGCUCCAACAGCGUAUAUUAAAGUUGUUGCAGUUAAAAAGCUCGUAGUUGAAUUUCGAGACCGGCUUACUGGUCGUGCUAUUGUACGUACUGGUAUAAUCGGUUUCUCCUUUCUGACGAACUAUAAUGCCAUUAAUUUGGUGUUAUAGGGAAUCAGGACUGUUACUUUGAAAAAAUUAGAGUGUUUAAAGCAGGCUCACGCUUGAAUACAUUAGCAUGGAAUAACGGAAUAGGACGUUUGAUUCUAUUUUGUUGGUUUCUAGGAUCGACGUAAUGAUUAAUAGGGAUAGUUGGGGGCAUUAGUAUUCAAUUGUCAGAGGUGAAAUUCUUGGAUUUAUUGAAGACUAACUACUGCGAAAGCAUUUGCCAAGGAUGUUUUCAUUAAUCAAGAACGAAAGUUAGGGGAUCGAAGACGAUCAGAUACCGUCGUAGUCUUAACCAUAAACUAUGCCGACUAGGGAUCGGAUGAUGUUAAUUUUUAAUGACUCAUUCGGCGCCUUACG
rnacentral:rRNA from 1 species